rnacentral:misc_RNA from 1 species
AAGUCGUAACAAGGUUUCCGUAGGUGAACCUGCGGAAGGAUCAUUAACACGUAUCCAACGUAAAAAACCCCCCUGUGAACAUUCAAACCUGCUCUCGUAGCCCAGUGCGAUCCAUUGUCGAACAGUACUGAUUCGGGACUUCUGACAAAUGAGAAGUUACAGUUACGAUUGAGCGGAGAUAGCUGCAUGGCAUCCCGAAGCAGUCAGUGUCUGAAAGUGUCAUUGAUUGUCUAAGGAUCUCGCCUCAACGAUUGCCAGAGGUCGCUCACCGACCGGCAGACAUGCAACCGGGUCCCCACGCCCCUUUACAACCCCAUUACCUCUGUGAGUCGCGGGAAACUAGCGGCUAAAAAACCUCGAACAACUGUUAACAAUGGAUAUCUUGGUUCUC